rnacentral:rRNA from 1 species
CCUACGGGUGGCAGCAGUGGGGAAUAUUGCACAAUGGGGGAAACCCUGAUGCAGCGACGCCGCGUGAGCGAUGAAGUAUUUCGGUAUGUAAAGCUCUAUCAGCAGGGAAGAAAAUGACGGUACCUGACUAAGAAGCCCCGGCUAACUACGUGCCAGCAGCCGCGGUAAUACGUAGGGGGCAAGCGUUAUCCGGAUUUACUGGGUGUAAAGGGAGCGUAGACGGCGGAGCAAGCCAGAUGUGAAAGCCUGGGGCUCAACCCCAGGACUGCAUUUGAAACUGUGCUGCUAGAGUAUGGGAGAGGCAGGCGGAAUUCUUGGUGUAGCGGUGAAAUGCGUAGAGAUUAGGAGGAACACCAGUGGCGAAGGCGGCCUGCUAGAACAUGACUGACGUUGAUGCUCGAAAGCGUGGGGAGCAAACAGGAUUAGAUACCCCUGUAGUC